rnacentral:lncRNA from 1 species
CAAAUUGUUUACUCCCCCUACAUUGAACUCCAGGACUAUACCAACACCACUUGGGUGAAUGACUAGAUUUUUUGCAAUGGGGACAAGGUGGAUAAUCCACCUUUUUAUCAGUAGCACUUCUACUAUCUUCAGGUCUCCUUCUUCCAGGCUGGUUUUGCUUCACACCAUAACUGGUUUGUACCUUAAAUUUUCCUUUAACAAAUAAGGGUCCUUCUACCUGUUCCUCUUGCCUCAUCAGACGUCUUUGUUCAGUGGCUUGCAAAGCAUUAACAAGUUCAGCCACAUACAUUGAAGACAGAUCCCUUGAGUCCUCCAGUGAUGAGAUUUUAGCUUCGAACUUCUCGGGCAAGCUGAUAAGAACCUUUUCCAUGAUUCUCUUGUCACUUAACUUAUCUCCCAAUAGUCUUAUUUGAUUCACAACCUUCAUUAAUAUGUCAGAAUAAUCUUUGACAGAUUCAGUCUCCUUCAUCUUCAGACUCUCAAACUCUCUUCUCAGGUUGAGCACUUUCAUUUGUCUUGUUCUUGCAUUUCUCCUAAACUCCUCUUGCAACCGAUCCCAGGCCUCCUUUGCUAUCUCGCAUGUGAUUAUUCUGGUGAAGAUUGCAUCAGAUACGGCGGAUUGAAUGCAAAACAAAGCUUUACACUUUUUUGCUACCUCCUCACCAUGCUGUUUCAACUGAGCAAUGGUUGGAUUAGCUCUCAAUGGUGGAGGUUCUGUUCCUGUUUUAGUUAUCUCCCACAAGUCAUAAGCCUUCAAGUAUGCCUUCAUUUUAGCAGCCUAAAAAUCGUAAUUAUCUCCUGUAAAUGCAGCAGGCAAUGGUGCUGAGAAACCACUUGAAGCCAUCACUCUUGAAUCUUCAAAUUUACUUGUCCGAGAUAUCACUGAUUAGAUGAAC